CGGGGCCUGCUCGGGGUUAGUGCGGAACUGAUCAGCUGCCUAACCUUGGUUUUAAUUAAAAUGUGAUAGUCCAAUUCAAUAAUUCUUUGGAAAGAUUGAAUUUCUCAGUUUAAAUGAUGCAAGGUAUUGUAAAUCAUUCUAUACAAUACCAUGAACUCAUGAACUCAGGUUGAAUUCUCUUAUAUCUUGAACUCGUGAACUUCUGUUAUAUCAUUUCAGAACUAUCAUUGUUUAUUAUUACUUGCUGAGCAUUGUUGCUCACCCUUGCUAUUCCUUUCUAACCAUUUCAGAAAGGCUGAAAGAUAAGAUGAUUGAUUGAGAUUGUGGAUAAGGCUAAUGCUAGGCGAGGAGACAGAGUUGAGGAUCCAGUGGUCGAGGAGUAUUCAGGAAAGUUGAUAAGGUUGGUGCUAGCUAGAGUUAUGCUAUGAAGUUUCAGAUGUAAGUCAUGGCUGGAGUAAGUUGACAGUGAUUCUUCUUAUCGAAGAUGAUCUGAUUUGGUAAGGGAUGUUGUGUAGUAUUAGUGGUGGAUUCUAAUUUCAAUACUGUAACCUGGAAGCGAUCCUGUUGUUUUUGGGGGUUAAAAUGUUCUCUUUCGAAUCAGCUAUUAAAGUUUAAAUGUUCUCUGAAAAGUUCUUUUAUGAUGGUUUUCAAAUUUAAAAUUCAGGUUUUGAAAUCAUUUGAUUUAUGUUCUCAUACAAAUCUUUUAUUAAAUGUUUCAAGUUUUAAAUUCUUGUGGAUUUUCAUUAUCUUUAAUAAAAAUACAGGGUUUCACAAGUGUUUUAAAAAGGGUUUUGUGUGGUGACGUCAGAAUCCAGACCCCCGGAUUCCUGGACUGUCACAGUUGGUAUCAGAGCAACAGGUUAUAAGUAUUUGAAAUUAGAAUAUAGAUCAUAGUUAUAGGUUUUCUAGAGAAGAAUGUUGGGUGACCUCGGAUAGAGGUAUUGUGAGACUAUUUAGAAAUAGUCUAGGGAUGUGAUAGAGAAAUAGAAUCUAGUUAAAUGAUUAAGUUGAGUGCAUAAGUUUAAAGAGAUUUUGAUUCCUAAGUUAGACAUAUGAUUUUUAGUAUGUUGACUAAUUGAGAUGAUGAAUUGUGAGAAAGGUCAGUAUUAGACCUAUACAGAAGAGUUUGAUAAUGAAUGACUGAGUUGAAAAUGGUGAAAAUGCAGAGUUCAGAGUAUUCUGACUAUACUGCAUAUUUGAAAUUAGAUUAUUGUAUUGAUUUGAGGAUGAUAUAAAUGCAUGGUUCAUAGUAUGUUGACCAUGUCAGAUAUUUGAAAGAUGUAUAUUGUUUUGGAGUGAAGAUAUGAACAGUAAGUGUAGAGUAUGAGUUGUAUUGGAUUAGAAGGAGAGAUUGGUAGAUAGAGGUUGAUAGGUGAGAAGUGAAUGAUAGAGAGUACGUGGAAUUGAGUCCAGUUAUUAGAGAUGAUGUCUACAAGUAAGUUAGAACGUUAGUUCUCGACGACUACGCUUUAAGUUAAGCGGGACAAGGUGGGCCCAUAACCCACAGGUUGACGAGUCAGAAAAUAGAAGAUACGCUACGUGUCGUGCUAUGGAAUUCAAAGGCAACUGGAUGAAACAUGAGAACGUGAACUACUUGGGCCAGACUUAUUAUGAACUAUAACGUCUACGAUGACAUCUUACGAGGCUAUUACGAGUCAACAUCGAUCGAUUAUCGAGAACGUUGAAAAGAAGACAUAUAUCGAACAAUGAUUUAUUGAAGCAGAGUGAAAAUCUGAGAAGACCUUGGCAAUACCUCUCUUCAACUAAGAUUCUUUUGGAUUGUUUUUCUCAUCAGUGAGAUAUUAUCAUGAUAUCCUUUCGACCAAAGUUUCGAUAAAUGAGAUUUUCAAUUUCUCAAAUUCUAAGAUGACAUUAAUAUUGAUUAUUGGUGUGAGUUGGUAUUGAUUCAAGAUGUGUGAUAAAGGUUUGUUGUGAAGAGACAGUGAUGUUCCUUGAGAUAGUUUGACAUUUCUUGACAUCCUUGAUAUUCUUUCAUCUUCUUUGAUAUCCCUUGAUGUUCUUUAAUAGUUGCAAUUCUUUGACAUUCUUUGAUAUUCUCGAUAUUCUUUGACAUUCUUUGAUAUUCCUUAAUAUAUUCCUCGAUAAUCCUUAACAUUCCUUGAUGCUCCUUGAGAUUUCUUGGAUUCUUUCCAUCUGAUUGGGAUGAACAACCCUAUGUAUAGGGGACACAAGGUAUACCUGUCUGUGUGAUAGGAGUUGGAUGGGACGCCAUCACUUGUGUGUGUUGUGAUUACAAGAAGGUUAACAACCUUUAGUAGUGUCUAAUAUGGACACGCAACAUUAAGUUCAUUUGAUCGUAUUGAUCUCCCAGUCACUCUUGUAUUCCAAUGUGACCUAUUUUGAAAACAGCUUGUUCCUCCAAAAUUCUCAAAAAUUGAUUCUUGAGAAAUGAAUUCUGCAAUUGUGAAAGUGUUGAUAUUCCUAUUUCUUUAAAAUUGAAGGUAUGCCAAGGUUGAUUAAGGGCGGAUGAGCAUGUGAUGUUAUGAAACGUGUACAAUGAUUUUACAAAUGAUAUGUUUUAGUUUCUUCGGAGGAUUCCGAGGACGGAAUCCUUAUAAGGGGGGUAGAAUGUAAUAUCCCGUAUUAUUAAAUUUAGAUUUGAUUAUUAUAAAUCUAUUUGUCUAAAUAUAAUUGUUGGCUUUAAUGGAAUAGUGAUCUGAUUAUGUGAAUAGUGUGUAUGUGAUUAUACUUGUUAUGUGGAUUAAUAUGGAUUUUACAGAUUAUGCGUCCUCCUUCUUUCUCUGAUUCCGAGGACGGAAUCCCUAUAAGGAGGGUAGAUUGUAAUGACCCGGAUUUUUAAAAAUAUUUUUAUUAGUAUUAAAAGUGAUUUUCUUCAAAGAAGGGAAUAAGAUUUAAUAUUUUAUUCCAGUUUAAUGAGUUUUCAAGGUUUUAUAUUUAAACCCCGGGUUAUUGUGUUAUUGAUAAAUAAUUGUAUUUUCAAAACUGAUUUUCAUAUAUUGUUUUGAAAAUUCUGUAUGAAUAUUAUGUGAAUAUAUGUGUUAUGUGAUUAAGUGGUAUUGGUGAAUUUGUUUGUUAAUUAGUUAUGAUUAAUUAUUAAUAUUAUAUGAUUAAUAUAUGAAUUUUUGUGAAUUUUGUGUUAUCUAGUUUAUUGAGCUGAAUGCUCGUAUGUGUUCGUAUUCGCGAGAUUUCAAUUUCUAUAUGCUCAGGAGAAAAUAUAGUUUAUUUGGAUAUUUUCAUAUCGAUUUAUGGAAUGUUAGAUGAUUUUAUAAUCGAUUUACGGAUUUAAUUGCGUAUAUUUAUAUUUAUUUAUUAAUUAUUUGACUUCCGUAAAACCGUCCACUCGUAACGAGGUAGCAAAUUUUCUUCCCGGAAGUUUCAACAAAACUCACCUUUAGCCUAAUUUGAAUAUUCCGGACACUUUUCGUGUUUUGACUUUUUCGAUCCGGAGUACGGUUUUCCCCGGAGUCGGUCCGGCGGAGUUUUUCGGGUAUUUUAAUUGUUGAUAAUUAUCCAGUUUGUCUCGAUAUACGUGAAAGCCAGAUAUUUUGAUUAUUAUAUUACUUUUUAUCGAAAUACGUGCAAAUGGGACCCCCAGACCAAUGAUUGAUUUAUAAUGCCCCGUUUUGAUGAUUAUCUCGAAAACCGGUACCGAUUGGACCCCGCUUUACUAAUAUAAAGCUAUUAAAUAUCGUAUUUUCAUGUCAUAAACGAUCCAAAGGGGUACCAAUUAUUUGUAAAUAUAAAUAGCCCUUUCUACACCUUAUUUUCAACCGUAAAUCAUUUCACCAGUUUCUUUUCACGAAUACCGAGAGAAACCGAGCUGCGUUCUUCGUGUUCUUCGUAAUCAAACGAGGAUUUGAAGGUGUUAUUGGAAUCCGAUGGAGGUGUAUGAAUAGUCAAAACGAAGCUAUCGACGCGUAGAAUCUAUUACUAUCAGUGGUUUCAGUGCAGAAUCGACAGGUUUUUGCUAAUUAAGGUUUUUAAUUUCGAAUUUAUAUGAUUUAAAUGAUGAAUUUUUGAAAACGUGAUUGUUUAAUUGUUUUGAUGAUUCUAUGAUGUAGAGCAUGUUUUUCUCGUCGUUUUGGUAUAUUAUAUGUCAAAAACGGAGUUCAAUAACAUGUAGAAAAGUCAGUUUGAUUAUUGAAACUGUUGUUCUUGGUGUUCUUGAGAAAGCUCGCCGGAAAAUUCUUGUUUUGGUCGGGAUUUUGAUUCGUUAAACCUGGGCAGAAGCUAAGCAUACCAUUGAAUAGAUCUUUGAGAGUAUAAUUGAGUGGUGGUGUCAGUUUGUUCAAAGGAGGCGAAACGAGUUCGCCGGAAAAUGGAGAAGUCGGCGGUGGCGCCGACCUUCAACCGGGUUUUACGGCAAAUUGGUGAAGUGCUUGUGAAAUCUGAAAAUACGAGUGGAUUGCUGGACAUCUGUAGAGUAUAUCUGCAGCUGGUGGUCGAGUUCUGGGCUCGAUGGAGCCUCCGGCGACGUCUCCGACGUCGUUCGGCGACGGUAGGGGGUGAUGACUGUAUAAUUACAGUUUAACCCCCGAACAAAUGAAGGUGGUGACUUUUAGUCACCCGAGUUUCAAAUCUUUCAAAACAAACCCUGAUACUUCGAAAACUUGCACUUUCAACCCUGCGUUUAAACUUUUGAAUAGUAACAAUUAAAACCUUUUCAAUUAUUUUUCAAAAAUUAUUUUUUUGGUCAUUUUUUUAUAGUUUUUAAUUAUUUCUUUAUUCAAAAACAAAUCGAAAUUAGUUUAUUAAUUAAUUUCAAUUGGUAAUUAAUUAUAUUAAUUGAUCAAUUAAUUUAAAUAUUAAUUGAUUAAUUAAUUUAAUUAGUUAUUAAUUGAUUUUAAUUGAUUAAUUAAUUGGAUUUAAUUAUCCUUUUUGAUUUAAAAAUUCCGAAAAAUAGUUUCGAGCUUUAAAAUAUUUUUCCAAAUCAUGUUCAAGGCUCGACAAUUGUUUAUGAAUGAUUUCAAGUCCAGUUUUGAGCAUCCGGACUUGAUUAUUUAUUUGAAAAAUGAUUCUUUUAUCCGUUUUAAUUCCGAAAAUGUUUAAAAAUUCCAGAAAAUUCCCGAAAAAAAAUCAUUUUUAACCCAAGAGUGAUUUGAUAUCAAUUGGGGUGGGAAACCUUAUAUGUAAUGUGUUAUCUGCUUUGUGUGUGAUGUGUUAUAUGUUGAUAGUGGAGUCAGAAAACGGCUUAGAUCAUAACUUUUGAUCUGUAAGUCGGAAUCAAGUGAAACGAAAGAGAGAUAGAAGCUCGUGAAGUCUAUUUUAAUAUGACAAGAUAAUAUGAUUGAAUCUAGAAUGUGAUUAUAUGCUAUGUAAUAUGCAAUAUGUAACCAUACGUGAUUUGUUUGUUAUGAAUUGAUGAUUACGUGAUAUAUGUGGUUAUUCCUAAUAUAGUACAUAUGUGAUAAAUGACUUAUAUGACAUAGUGUCAUGAUUUGAUAAGAACAUAUGGAUUAUAGGAAUUGGAAUUGGUUGAUUGGUUGUUGGUUGGGAAUAGGUUGACAGGUGGAUAGUCUUAUAACUAGACAAGAUGCUGGCAGAUUUUCGAUAUGAUUUAUAUGAUUAUUGAUUAUAACAUGUUAUGUAGAAUAUGACUUGACUAUAUGAUAAAGUCAAAGAAUGAUUAUGUGCUAAGUGAUAUGUGAUAAGUUUAAAGGGGUAUAUAAGUGGGUAUCGAUAUACGUGAUAUGUAUAUGCGAUAUAUUGUUUAGUGACUAUAGUAUUAUCUUAUUCUCGUAAAGGAUUUGGACGAGACGUGUACGCUCGAAGACGUCAGAAAGUCGGAAUGGUAUUGCAAAGCGAAUAAGGGAUGAAUCGAGUAAGCGAAGCGAUGUGGCGAAUAGAGUAUAGCUAGAGAUGGUCUAGAGAUUACGAGAUGCAUAGAUUGUGAAAGUUGAAAGAUGAGAAUGAGCUGUGAAACUGGAGUCAGAUUUAAGGCAAGUAUCCUAUACCCUUCUUUUGGAUAUCUUGCGAUUAUUCUGAUCCAUUCUUUUCGUAUGUGUUGCAAAUAUUCGUUCUUCUCUUUUCCAUAUUUGAAACUGUAAAUAUUUUAUCCAUCCUUUUCUAAUCCUCAAAAAAUACAGAUAAUUCCAGUUUUACAAAUUAAUUCGAAGUUCAGAUUGUCAUUGAAGCAUGUGUUGCUCAAUGAUGGUUAGAACCUAGAAUGACUUGGGAUCUUCUUGAUUAUUCAACCCGCCAUUGUCAUGCUGGUUUAGCAGGCUAAAUUCAGUUGCUUAGCCGAUAAUGGAGGAUACUGAAUAGUUAAGGAUUUCCUGAACUAUGAUUUAUGAAAGGAUGGACUCUGGUUUUGGUUGGAUGUCUUAUGUGUCGAUAUAAUAGUGAGAAAACGGUUUUAAACAUAUCUUUUGAUCCGUAAGUCGGAAUCGAGUGAAACGGAAGAGAGAUGAAAGCUUAUAAAGUCUAGUUUGAUAUGACAUAAUAAUAUGAUGGAGUCGAGAAUGUGAAUAAUUGUUGAUUAAUGUGCACAAUGUGAUUAUAUGUUAUUUGAUUGCUAUUAAUUGAUGAGUACGUGAUAUAUAUGUCUAUUCCUGAUAUUAUAUAUGUGAUAAAUGACUUAUAUGACAUAGUGUCAUGAUUUGAUUAAUAUUGGAUAAGAACAUAUGGAUUAUGGUGAUUGGAUUUGGUUGGUUGAUUGUUGAUGGAGAUAGGAUAACAUGUGGAUAGUCUAAUAAAUAGACGAGAUGCUGUCAAAUUUUCGAUAGGACUUAUAUGAUAAGUGAUUUGUGAUAUGUUAUGUGGAAUAUGACUUGACUAUAUGGUAGAGUCAAAGCAUGAUUACGUGUUAAGUGAUAUGUGAUAAGUUUAAAGGGGUAUAUAAGUGGGUAUCGAUAUGCGUGAUAUGUAUAUACGAUCGAUUGAUUAGUGAUUAUAUUAUUAUCUUAUUCUCGUUAAGGAUUGGACGAGACGUGGAUGACCGAAGACGUUCAGAAGGACAAGUGGUGUUCCAAAGCGAAUAAAGAAUGAGUCGAGUAAGCGAAGUGCUGUGGCGAAUAGAGUAUAGCUAGAGAUGGUCUAGAGAUUAUAAGAUGCAUAUAUUGUGAAAGUGGAAAGUUGAGAAUGAGCUGUGAGACGGGAGUCAGAUUUAAGGCAAGUAUCCUAUACCCUUCUUUUGGAUAUCUUGCGAUUAUUCUGAUCCAUUAUUCUCGUAUGUGUUGCAAAUAUUCGUUCCUCUCUUUUUCAUAUUUGGCAAGUGCAAAUAUUUUUAUCCAUCCUUUUCUAAUCCUCAAAAAUUCAGAUAAUUCCAGUUUUACAAAUUAAUUCGAAGUUCAGAUUGUCAUUGAAGCAUGUGUUGCUCAGUGAUGAUUAGAACCUAGAAUGACUUGGGAUCUUCUUGAUUAUUCAACCCGCCAUUGUCAUGCUGGUUUAGCAGGCUAAAUUCAGUUGCUUAGCCGAUAAUGGAGGAUACUGAAUAGUUAAUCUUGUUUAUUCACCCCGCCAUUGUCAUGCUGGUUUAGCAGGCUAAAUUCAGUUGCUUAGCCGAUAAUGGAGGAUACUGAAUAGUUAAGGAUUUCCUGAACUAUGAUUUAUGGAAGGAUGGACUCUGGUUUAUGAAAAGUUGAUUAUCAAAGUUUGAUUUGGAAUUAUUCUAUCAUUGAUAUUGAUUGUGUUUAUGUUCUGUUGUUAUACGUUGACCUGUUAUUGAAUUAUAGAAUUGGAUUAUUGUUUUUAUAUAAACCUGUGGACCAGAUUCGUGGUCAUGUUAGGCCAAUGAGUGCCUUGGAUCCAGUGAUAGAGCAUGGCGGGGCCUGCUCGGGGUUAGUGCGGAACUGAUCAGCUGCCUAACCUUGGUUUUAAUUAAAAUGUAAUAGUCCAAUUCAAUAAUUCUUUGGAAAGAUUGAAUUUCUCAGUUUAAAUGAUGCAAGGUAUUGUAAAUCAUUCUAUACAAUACCAUGAACUCAUGAACUCAGGUUGAAUUCUCUUAUAUCUUGAACUCGUGAACUUCUGUUAUAUCAUUUCAGAACUAUCAUUGUUUAUUAUUACUUGCUGAGCAUUGUUGCUCACCCUUGCUAUUCCUUUCUAACCAUUUCAGAAAGGCUGAAAGAUAAGAUGAUUGAUUGAGAUUGUGGAUAAGGCUAAUGCUAGGCGAGGAGACAGAGUUGAGGAUCCAGUGGUCGAGGAGUAUUCAGGAAAGUUGAUAAGGUUGGUGCUAGCUAGAGUUAUGCUAUGAAGUUUCAGAUGUAAGUCAUGGCUGGAGUAAGUUGACAGUGAUUCUUCUUAUCGAAGAUGAUCUGAUUUGGUAAGGGAUGUUGUGUAGUAUUAGUGGUGGAUUCUAAUUUCAAUACUGUAACCUGGAAGCGAUCCUGUUGUUUUUGGGGGUUAAAAUGUUCUCUUUCGAAUCAGCUAUUAAAGUUUAAAUGUUCUCUGAAAAGUUCUUUUAUGAUGGUUUUCAAAUUUAAAAUUCAGGUUUUGAAAUCAUUUGAUUUAUGUUCUCAUACAAAUCUUUUAUUAAAUGUUUCAAGUUUUAAAUUCUUGUGGAUUUUCAUUAUCUUUAAUAAAAAUACAGGGUUUCACAAGUGUUUUAAAAAGGGUUUUGUGUGGUGACGUCAGAAUCCAGACCCCCGGAUUCCUGGACUGUCA
rnacentral:lncRNA from 1 species